rnacentral:rRNA from 1 species
UACGGAGGGUGCAAGCGUUAUCCGGAUUUACUGGGUUUAAAGGGUGUGUAGGCGGACUUUUAAGUCAGGGGUGAAAUCCCGAGGCUCAACCUCGGAACUGCCUUUGAUACUAUUGGUCUUGAAUGUUGUUGAGGUGGGCGGAACGGGUCAUGUAGCGGUGAAAUGCAUAGAUAUGACCCGGAACACCGAUUGCGAAGGCAGCCCGCUAAGCAACUAUUGACGCUGAGGCACGAAAGCGUGGGAUCAAACAGG